rnacentral:rRNA from 1 species
CCUACGGGUGGCUGCAGUGGGGAAUAUUGGACAAUGGGGGCAACCCUGAUCCAGCCAUGCCGCGUGUGUGAAGAAGGCCCUCGGGUUGUAAAGCACUUUCAGUGAGGAAGAACGCCUGGUGGUUAAUACCCAUCAGGAAAGACAUCACUCACAGAAGAAGCACCGGCUAACUCCGUGCCAGCAGCCGCGGUAAUACGGAGGGUGCGAGCGUUAAUCGGAAUUACUGGGCGUAAAGCGCGCGUAGGUGGCUUGAUAAGCCGGUUGUGAAAGCCCCGGGCGCAACCUGGGAACGGCAUCCGGAACUGUCAAGCUAGAGUGCAGGAGAGGAAGGUAGAAUUCCCGGUGUAGCGGUGAAAUGCGUAGAGAUCGGGAGGAAUACCAGUGGCGAAGGCGGCCUUCUGGACUGACACUGACACUGAGGUGCGAAAGCGUGGGUAGCAAACAGGAUUAGAUACCCUGGUAGUC